UACGUAGGGGGCAAGCGUUGUCCGGAUUUAUUGGGCGUAAAGAGCGUGUAGGCGGCUAGAUAGGUCCGUUGUGAAAACUCGAGGCUCAACCUCGAGACGUCGAUGGAAACCAUCUGGCUAGAGUCCGGAAGAGGAGAGUGGAAUUCCUGGUGUAGCGGUGAAAUGCGCAGAUAUCAGGAAGAACACCCGUGGCGAAGGCGGCUCUCUGGUACGUGACUGACGCUGAGACGCGAAAGCGUGGGGAGCGAACUGG
rnacentral:rRNA from 1 species